rnacentral:rRNA from 1 species
GUCUAUGGCCAUGCCACCCUGAACAUGCCCAAUCUCAUCUGAUCUCGGAGGCUAAGCAGGGUCAGGCCUGAUUAGUACUUGGAUGGGAGACAACCUAGGAAAACCAGGUGCUGUAGGUG